UACGAAGGGGGCUAGCGUUGCUCGGAAUCACUGGGCGUAAAGCGCACGUAGGCGGCUUUUUAAGUCAGAGGUGAAAUCCUGGAGCUCAACUCCAGAACUGCCUUUGAUACUGGAGAGCUCGAGUCCGGGAGAGGUGAGUGGAACUGCGAGUGUAGAGGUGAAAUUCGUAGAUAUUCGCAAGAACACCAGUGGCGAAGGCGGCUCACUGGCCCGGUACUGACGCUGAGGUGCGAAAGCGUGGGGAGCAAACAGG
rnacentral:rRNA from 1 species